CCCCAGCCCCGGCCCAGGGCCUACAGAGAAGCUGGCACCAGGAAAGGAGGGCCAUGGUUAUAGACACAGGUUCGGAGUCAGCCCCAGCUUGAAUCCUGCUUCUGCCACCAGCCCUGUGACCUGAAGCAAGUGAGUCCCAAUCACCUCAUCUGUGCACUGAGAUGCAGAGUGGCUAUUUCUACUGCAUGUGGCUGUUGUGGGGACUGGGCGAGAGAGAUCCCCAAUAGGUGCUAUGAUUUUUCUCCCUGCUUUGCCCUCCAGCCAUACCCGGAAGCCCCCGAGUUUUGAUCUGGCCCAGGUAGACCGAUCAUUUCCUCCAAGUCCCCCUUCCCUGAGGAGCUG
rnacentral:lncRNA from 10 species